rnacentral:lncRNA from 1 species
UGUGUAUUGUUUUGGUUCUAUUUUUUCUAAUUUUGGAGGUUUUUUUUGGUUUAUAACGUGCAAUCAAUCUCGGUAAAGUUAUUUAUUUAUUUUUUGAGAGAUAGGUAGCAUGCUACCCGCUUCGUUUAUUUCAUUUAGAAAUAAAUUUAGCUGAAAAUGUGAAUCAAUUAGUAUUCGAACUUCGGCCUCGAGUAUCAAUUACCAAGUCUUUUAUCACUCACCACCUUUUUUUUACCAGUGAUAUAGUCAUU